rnacentral:ncRNA from 3 species
UACGUAGGGUGCAAGCAUUGUCCGGAUUUAUUGGGCGUAAAGAGCUCGUAGGCGGCUUGUCACGUCGGAUGUGAAAACUCGGGGCUCAACCCCGAGCCUGCAUUCGAUACGGGCUAGCUAGAGUGUUGCAGGGGAGACUGGAAUUCCUGGUGUAGCGGUGAAAUGCGCAGAUAUCAGGAGGAACACCGGUGGCGAAGGCGGGUCUCUGGGCAACUACUGACGCUGAGGAGCGAAAGCGUGGGGAGCGAACAGG